UUACGGCCAUAUCACGUUGAAACACCGGUUCUAGUACGAACACCGAAGUUGAGCAACGUCGAGUCUGGUCAGUUCUGAGAUAGGUGACCGCUUGGGAAUAACUGGUGCUGUAA